CACAUGCCAGACAAAAUGCCACCUUGUAUCUUUCAUGUUUAUUUUCUUCAGCAGCAGCUUAUGUGGCACAAGUAAUGACACAAAAACCUGAAGUAAAUAGUACUACAUCAAUGUUAACUACAUUGAGGGAAAUGCCGUCACACUGUUAGCAACAUCAGGUGUUUUCUUUGUGACACCAUUUUAUAUCUCAUUUGUUUUAUGUUUACGUUCUUCUGCACCCCAUUUAACCAACACUUGUAAAGUAGUAGCAUGACUUUACUACUGCACCAUGUUAUUGAUAGCAACGUUAACCUAAAAUCCUGGGUCCACAUACCAUAUUUUAGGUCAUGUAGGCCAAACCUGCUCAUCAAAUGUUAAUAUUGUGGCCUACACACUUGACCCAUUAUGUGACGUUCACCUUUGUGGACACUACAUCUAAGUACCUCCAACUUCUUCGUGUAACUACUCCACAAUAUUGUUGAUGUCAACAUGCCUAAACACCAAAGGCGCUGGGUGGUAGCUUUCCCGGGCUGCGGUCCGACGGAGUACUGUAGCAGCCACCCUGUGCUUCAGGCAGUUCACCCUUCUCCCGAAGCAUGGCAGUGGCGGCUGACGAGAUGAUGCCCACACCAUCCCGUACCCGCGUCUCCAGCGGGUAUUCCCAGUCAUCGUAGGACACCGAAAUCAUGCCGAGAGGAAACGCCUUGUCAGGUUAAGAAAUGCCGUUCACUUCAAAAGAAAAGGCAUUUUGUGUGUUAGAGUAUGCUUGGACUCAGUCACAGAAGACAGUGCAGCCUUCUUCACAAACUUUGCAAAGACGGCACCAACUACAAAACAAAUUAGGACUUGGCACCAAAAAUUUCAAGUUUGAGUUUCGAGUUUGGCACCAGCUCGGAUACCGACGUGUGCAGUCACAAGCGGUGCUCAUAUUGAACAUUUAUGAAAAUUUGUCAUAGAACCAACAAAUAUUUGUACUUUCCUUUGUAAAUUUAACCGAUAAAACUUAUGACCUUCAACAUAAAAUGUAUUUAGAUUCAUUAAGAUCCAUCAAGUAGUUUCCAAGAUGUGGGCAUUUAGAAUGGGGUCAACCAUUUUGGAAGACCGUGCAUAUUUUAAUAAUUUUUUUUUUCAGCACUUCAAAUGUACUAAUUAUGAUCAUUUUUAAACAGGUUACGUCCCACUGAAUUAUUUUUAAACAAGAAUA